UACGUAGGGGGCUAGCGUUGUCCGGAAUCAUUGGGCGUAAAGCGCGCGUAGGCGGCCCGGUAAGUCCGCUGUAAAAGUCCAGGGCUCAACCCUGGAAAGCCGGUGGAUACUGCCGGGCUAGAGUCCGGAAGAGGCGAGUGGAAUUCCUGGUGUAGCGGUGAAAUGCGCAGAUAUCAGGAAGAACACCAAUGGCGAAAGCAGCUCUCUGGGACGGUACUGACGCUGAGACGCGAAAGCGUGGGGAACGAACAGG
rnacentral:rRNA from 1 species